CGGGCCGUAGCGCAGUUUGGUAGCGCACUUGACUGGGGGUCAAGGGGUCGCGGUUUCAAAUCCCGCCGGCCCGACCA
rnacentral:tRNA from 1 species